GGGUGGGGAUUUGUUGCAUUACUGGAUAUUACCGUGACAGUAUUGCACUUGUCCCGGCCUGU
rnacentral:pre_miRNA from 1 species